rnacentral:misc_RNA from 1 species
GAUGAAGAACGCAGCGAAAUGCGAUACGUAAUGUGAAUUGCAGAAUUCAGUGAAUCAUCGAAUCUUUGAACGCACAUUGCGCCCCUUGGUAUCCCGAGGGGCAUGCCUGUUCGAGCGUCAUUUCACCACUCAAGCCUGGCUUGGUGUUGGGCGACGUCCUCUUUGGGGACGCGCCUCGAAACGCUCGGCGGCGUGGCACCGGCUUUAAGCGUAGCAGAAUCUUUCGCUUUGGAAGUCGGGGCCCCGUCUGCCGGAAGACCUGCUCGCAAGGUUGACCUCGGAUCAGGCAGGGAUACCCGCUGAACUUAAGCAUAUCAUAAGCGGAGGA